rnacentral:rRNA from 1 species
UACGGAGGGUGCAAGCGUUGUCCGGAUUUAUUGGGUUUAAAGGGUGCGUAGGCGGGAGAUUAAGUCAGAGGUGAAAGACUGCAGCCCAACUGUAGCAGUGCCUUUGAUACUGAUUUUCUUGAGUACAGAUGAGGCUGGCGGAAUGGGUGGUGUAGCGGUGAAAUGCAUAGACACCAUCCAGAACACCGAUUGCGAAGGCAGCCGGCUAAACUGUCACUGACGCUGAGGCACGAAAGCGUGGGGAUCGAACAGG